AAAAAAAAAAAAAAAAAAAAUCCGAUUCACUCCUCUCUCGGUAAUCCUCUUGCUCUAAAGAGGCUUUACCUUGUAUUUGUAUAACAUAAGGGUUUGGUAAGAGUCAUAAUGAUGUAGGUAUAUUGGAUUGACAAAAUACAGUUACAGGUGGAUUAUCUAUUUACUCAUGACCUAACUAUUUAUACAUUAGUGUUUUUAAAUUAACUUAAAGGUGAUGAUGUUAGUUAAAGCUUUGAUUGACCAUUUAACUUUAAUGCUCACAGUUUAGCUUUAUAUAUAAUGGUCAUAGGCAAGGUAAAAGCUUUUAGAAUUUAAUGGCUUGCAAAACAUUGAAUUCUGGUGGUCUUUUACAUUUCUAGCCAAUUUAUAUUGAUAUUCAUAGUGGAGACUGUAGAAGCAGAAAAAUAACGCAGGAAGAAUACUGGAAGAGUUAAUUAUAUAGUAUGCAUUUGCCUUUCUUUCAUCUUCAGAAGAUGGAAAAGCAUUUUUGGUUGGUUGAGUUGCUACUGGAUGUUCAAAUAGGGAUGGGUUCUGUCUAUUCCUUGUUACCCAAUUCUUUUUAGAGAUAAUAUAUUUUAGCUUUAUAAUUUCCUUGCACUAGCUUAUUGUUUGUCUGGAUGAUUGUCACCCAAUGCUUCUUUUUAAUUUGUGCAGAAAAUGCUUUUGCCUUGUG
rnacentral:misc_RNA from 1 species